rnacentral:rRNA from 1 species
AUUGAACGCUGGCGGCAUGCCUUACACAUGCAAGUCGAACGGUAACAGGUUAAGCUGACGAGUGGCGAACGGGUGAGUAAUGUAUCGGAACGUGCCCAGUCGUGGGGGAUAACUGCUCGAAAGAGCAGCUAAUACCGCAUACGACCUGAGGGUGAAAGCGGGGGAUCGCAAGACCUCGCGCGAUUGGAGCGGCCGAUAUCAGAUUAGGUAGUUGGUGAGGUAAAGGCUCACCAAGCCGACGAUCUGUAGCUGGUCUGAGAGGACGACCAGCCACACUGGGACUGAGACACGGCCCAGACUCCUACGGGAGGCAGCAGUGGGGAAUUUUGGACAAUGGGCGCAAGCCUGAUCCAGCCAUGCCGCGUGCGGGAAGAAGGCCUUCGGGUUGUAAACCGCUUUUGUCAAGGAAGAAAAGGUUCUGGCUAAUACCUGGGACUCAUGACGGUACCUGAAGAAUAAGCACCGGCUAACUACGUG